rnacentral:sRNA from 1 species
UAGCUUAGGCGCUCCUUUCGGAGGUGGGC